AUGACAAGGCCUAGCACUGGGAGUCAUUAGGCACCAGAACCCUGAAUGCCGAGAUAGAGGGAUGGCUGAUCUCAUGCUAAUGAGGUUUAGACCAUGUUGAGCCCUACUUUUGUUCUGUGGGAUGUUGGAUAUCCCUUAUACACCUAUGGCUCCAUCUUCAUCGUUAUUGUAAUUAUCUGGCAAGUGAAAAGGAGCCACCAUGAAUUGAACUUGGAAGUUGAAAGGAGCUGCUGCUGGCGUCACCAAAAAGUCAGGCAAAGAGCUAGAGAUGCAGCAUCAACAGCUAGGAGACUUUCUCAGGAAGAAGAUCAGAAGCCACAAGAGCUGUUCUCUGUCAUGAAAAGCCAGGGCUGGCUUCCCCCAGAGGGAAGUGUGCGGCGAAUCCUAUGUACAGAUCCCUGUUGCCAAAUUUGCAAUGCUAUGGCUCUGGAGAUUCAGCAGUUGCUGGCGGAUGAGAAUGACUAGAUCUCCCCAACUUUGUCGAGGAGUCCAUCACAGGUCUCCUCUUGCCUAGAGAUCUUGUCUCUGUCUAGUGUAUCCUUUGAGCAGAGUAUAGAGCUCCAUUCCAGAAAUAUCAGAGAGCUUUCACUGGCAUCUAUAAACCCAACACUGUCACAAUUAACAGAUCAGAAAUCUUUAACCCAGUCAGCUGCCCAGUCAACGUAUGCAGAUGGCAUACAAGAUUACUGGGCUGAUCACCUCCAGCUAGGGCCGGAAUUUCAAGUGCCAGCUGUGCUCCGGGGCCCAAACACCAUAGCUUCUUCAAGGCUUGACAAGCCAAGGGCUCCACUGAACCAGGAGGAGAUGAGCAGAGCAACCCCAGCCUUGUCCAGGGAAACCAAGGCCAGCAUCACUUGAAUUUCCAGGUCUCCUUGCUGUCCCUGAACCCAGAAACCCUGAACCGGAUGCAUCCGAUGGCCUUGCAUAUGGUCCUCCCUGCCCACCUGCCAUUUCUCAGUCCUGAAGUGCUGAGGCUUCUUGAGGUACAUGUUAAAAAAUGGAUGCAUUUCCAGAGGUGGGGGCUCCCAAGACGUGUGGAGGAGUCCCUGAGGCAGCUUAUGCCAAACCCACCAUUGUAUUACCAACCUGGAAAUGACCAGCCAGUUUCUUUCAACCUGAAUAAUACUUCUCAGGUCUCUCUUCACAGAUCUGAGACCAUUUCCCUCCAGACCUGGUGUUCAUGUGUGGCUGGCCAGCCCAUCCAGACCUUCUGGGUUUCUGAAUGGUCCACAAUGAACCCAGAACAAAGACACCACUGUCAGCAAACUCCAAACCCUAUGGCUCUAGCCUUGCCCUCUCCAGCCCUUAAAGCCCUAAGUGGCCCCCAUCCACAGUCUGGGGGACAAGAUAAUGACUCAGGGAGUGAUCUCCAGCAGAAAUACAGCCAGCUAUUCUGUGGGCUCCCUUCUCUGCACAGUGAGUCCCUGGUUGCCACUUUCAUGGGAUCUCAAGGCCUUCCCAAGAUUGAAAAUGUGCCCAAGCCCCCCUUGAAGGAUCCUUUUCUCUUCAAUGAUCUCUCCUUCCCCCAACUGCUCCCUAAAACUUCACCCCAGUCAGCCCCACCCUCUUCCCCACUUUCGCCAAAUUGGGUGUCUCCAUCUGACCAUCAACGAGCUCAGAUCAAUGUCCCAUUUCUGACUCUGGCUGAGUAUGAAGCCUUGGAGUGGCACCUGCUACAGAGGCAACUCCAGCUUCAGUGGGGCUGGCCAGCUGCCCUCCAGAGGUCUCAGCACACCCAGUGCCUCAUGCAGCAUGAGCCCUGUGGCAAAGCUCAGUCUCCUGAGACCACGACAGCUUCCCAGACAGGGAAGUCCAUCUCAGUGCUCACCAGGGAACUACUCUUCUUCCCGGAGCAUGCCCGGAAGCUGCUGGAAUUCCACAUCCAGAAACAGUCGAUUCGCCAUCGCUGGGGCCUGCCUCAGAAGAUCCAGCAGUCCAUCCAGUUGCUCCUUACCUCCACUGACCAGCAGACUGUGUCCAGCAGCAGCACAGCCCUAGCCAACGUGAGCAUCCCCCAGCCUGUAGCCCUAGAGGCCAACGGGGCUUGCGAUGUGCUGUCACCCAUUGCGGCCCCAGUGUCCAUCCCCAGGCCACACUUGUUAACUCAGGUCAAGGCAAUACUGCAGAGCCACAUCGACUCCAAAUGUGGACAAAUCCACCAGGGCAAGAUCCCCGCCUGUGUACACAGGUCCUGGGACUGCAGAAUUUCUGGGGUCCUGGCAGUGGCUCCUUUUCCCUGCAUUCCAGAAAGCCAGUUCCUGGUACUGCAGACAGCAAGUGACCCAGACCUACAUCACAAAGUUAUGCCCUGGAUGCCAACGGCCCUUGAUCAGCAGCAACAGGCCUUACCAGGUACUGUCACUGAACACCCUAAGCUGCUCCGAGUCUUGUCUGUGGAAGCCAUUGAGAAACUGGAGACAACUUUACGGCACAAGCAUCUGGCCUUCCUGUCGGGGCUGCCUGCUCUGUAUUAUGUGGCGCUCCCCAGGGCCCUGGCCCCGGCAGUCACUAGCCAAUCUGUCAUCACAGAGAUGGAGCCUAGUCCCGUGGAAAUCCCAGCAGAGCCUCUGAUUUAGAUGGUUUCAUUUGAAGAACAGUGUAUAAGUCUUGGGCCAUGCCCUCAAGGCAACAAUGAGAGUUGUACAGACGUUGCAAAAGAGUUCCAGCCUGCAGUGCCAGUAAAAGGAACAAUGGAGACGCUGCCUCUAGAAAGCCAGACGCAUCCUACUAGCCCCCACUCACUCCAGACACAUAUCUUGACCAAACUAAACUUCCACCUGAGAAAAAAGGUCCUAGAGAUACAAUGGGGAAUUCCCAUUAGGGCAAGGAAGUCCAGGGAACAAACUGCUGCAGCACCAGAGAACAUAUCCACACAGAAGUCUCUUGAAAGUCUAAACCACCAAGGGGAGACAUUGCUCCAGGAACUGCCCAUCCCACCAGACACUCUUCCUGCCCCUAAUCCAGAAGGGGUUCACCUUAAAGAACAGCUGGCCAAUGACUUGAAGGCAGUGCAGCAGAACCAAAAGCAAUCCAAUUCCAAAGCAGUACCCCAGGGUUCUGCCCACUCGGUCUCCAAGAUCUCACAACCCAGUGGGGACAUGACAGAGGCCCACAUGCCUUGUGUUCAGGUAGAGGCCAGUGUGAACAACCCCAGCCUGGAGGAACCCUGUGGCCCUGAGCCUCAAAGCCCUAGCAAGAGCAAGGACCCAGCCCAUGUCCCCAUGCUAGCAGGAAACAGAGAGGACCCAGAGGAAACCAAAGCAGCCAGGGACUACAGAGAAGGGGAUGCGGGGUUUGGGCGCUCCUCAACCAGAGAAGAGAGACGCCCUGCUGAAGACCAGAGGCCAGCAGGGAUGCUUCCAAACAAGACACCCCGAGGGUCCUGGCGAUGGAGCCGUAGCUUUCAUCUUGCUGAUCCCUGUCAACACAGCCCCCAGCAUCACCCUCAGUUUAAGCUCCCACAGCUACCUCCACGAGUCCCUGGGGAGAAAGAGUCUGAGAAGGACCUGCAAGACAGUCAAACCAAGCUAACUGUCAUCCUUGAACCAGCAACAAUUCCUGAGAAUACCCAGACUGUGGUGCCCCAGCUUCACAGGGUCAGCCUUUCCUGAGCCAACCAACUCAGGCUAAGCCUUUGCAGGGCCAAACUUUGCAAUGCCAAGUUUUACAUGGGCUGGUGAUGCCAGCCCAUACUCAAAAGAAGCCCAGCCUUACAGAGUCUAGCUUCAGAAAUAAAAUUAAAUGUUUUCUGGAGUGUAUUAACCCCAAGACAAAAGGCAAAGGGCACAAGGAUUCCAUGUUCUCUGCCACUGUGAAGGUGGCCAAAACCAGAAAAGAAAAUGUUGCAAAGAGCCUGGCUCCAGCCAAGAGCCCUGUGGGGAGAAGUAAGACAGAGAAGCCGACAGGGUGCUCCAAGGCCCAAUCUCAUCGUGCUCAGAAGCUGAUGGGCCCAGCUUUCUUGGAUGGUCCCCAGUCCCUAGACAAUAAGCUUCGGUUACACUCCAGACAACCUGGCUCUGCCUCAACCCCAGGCCACCCCCACCACUGUCCUCGUCACUGUCCUUGAGUGGCUUGUGCCCCCCAACCAGGGCACCCACCCUAGCUCCUAACCCUCAGUUCAGAUAGAAACAUUGGUCUGCUCAAGGAGAACACACAGAGCCAUGAAAAAGAGUUUAUAGGCUCCCCAACUGCUGCAGCCCUCCAGAGGACCAGUAUUUUCAUUUCCAUAAAUAUGCUGGUGGGGCAGGGUGCCACUAGAAAUGCACUCUAUAUGUUUCAGCAAUACGUUGCCCAUCUGCUCCUUAUCUCCACUGUAUUGUGUUAAGGGAAGGUGUGAGGGAGGCUAAAAAGACCUUCCUGUCUAGGGAAGGAGCUUUAACCCACAAUUCAGAUGGUUCAUUUUAGAGGAGUGCCACAGUAUUCCCUCCUUGAGGAGGUGCUUUUGUGUUUAUCAAAACACAAUAUCUAAUAAGACAGAUGUCAGAUCCAGAUGAUAGACUCUCCUCUGACUUCUCCCUGUUUAUACUGGGAAGAUCUUUCUAGAAAAUCCAUCUUGGAGCCUGCUGUAAUCCUGCUGCCUGUUUACUGCCUCCACUGCCUCUCAGUUGCAUGAAAUGAAAGCCUCCUGGAAUGAGAUGACAGUAGAAAAUGGAGAAGGGCCUGUCCCACAGGCCCAGGGAUUGGUAGGGAGCAGGGUCACGUAGUUGGAGGUCAGAGUACCUGUGACAAAAGUUGAUUCUCAUGCCUGACCAGGACAUGAGAAUAGAGAAAAGACAGUUUGCUUGGUGCUAAAAUGAGCCUAGAGCCAGGAGGCAAACCCAAGGCCCAAGUGCUUUGGGAGGGAUCACUGAGCUUAGUUCUGCUUGCCCUUAGUGUGAUGAAGGGCAGGGUGUUGAGCACUGAAGUUUCUGGGAAAGAACCACAAAUAUAAGAGGUUUUCUAAACAUAUGUGAGCCUGUCAAGUUACUGCCAGCAGCUUGUACCCAGGCCUACUGUUUCUAUACCACCUGUGCCUGGAGCCCUUCUCCACCACUCUCCUUGCCAUGAUCCUUACUCCUUAAAUUUAUCUUCACAGUAACUAAUGGUGGGCACCCAGUCAGCUGAAUCCCCUCCCAGGAUCUACCUGGUGCCUUUUCCUCAGGGGAUGACUCCUACACUUUUUCCUGCCAAGGACGGCACCACAGAAGCCUGGCAGCUCCAGCCCUUGGUUCCUGUCACCCUUCUACAUCUCUUCAUUGUGUCCCACUGCAUUUCUGAAAACACUGAAGCCAAUCACCUUGGCUGUCAAAAGAAGACAAGGCUUUUGGAAAGUGUCCUAUUAACACAGAAAGUGACCACAAAUCUACAAUUUAAUGCCACACAUGAGUCUAACAAUGAGAUCAGCUGCUCAUAACUGAGGUGGUGGGACUCUGGCCCUUUUGCCUCUCUCUGGGAAUGUCCAAUAUUUUGCUAUUCAGGGAAAUACAUAGUUAUUAUUAAUUGAAAUACUAUGUGGAAUUCUCUGAAACCUUUGGAAUGAAAUGAAGUCCAAGAGGGAGGCUGAGUGGCAAGCUGAGAUCUACAAGGAGCUGCUAAGAAAUGUAAGCCCCUCUCAGUGAUAUCCUAUUCACAUUCUCCCUCACACACAGAUUAAACAAAGUCCCUCCUACAGACCUGCUUUGGGAGGUCUCUCAGUGUAGCUUGCCAUACCAAGAUGUUCCUAGAGUUCUUUCCUGCUACCUUUUCGGUCGAGCCUCCCACCCCAAUCCCAGCACCAUCACUGGGUGAGUGAUCCACCACCAAAGGCAGCUUUGGUAAUCCUAGCCACACAUCAAGCCUCUUAAUAAUGGCCAUCAUACUCAUAUUCCUUCGAACCUCUAAGGAGACCUAAGGGGACCUUGUCCUUCCUUCUCCAGUUACUUGGGUUAAGGCAGGCACUAGUCUCCCUGGAACGCCUGACCUCUUAAGGAGCCAUGGCAGAACAGCAUAGCUCAAGGUUGUGCUUGCUCCACUCAAUAGGUUAAAUAUGAGUAAAAGAUUUGGGUCACCCCCUUCCCUCUGGAAAUUUCUGGCUGAAGUGACCAAAGAAUGAUUUUAAGGCAAAAUGAUAAACAUGAACAAAGGGCAAUAAAACAGCACAAAGAAAAUAUUA